UCGCUUCUCACAUGUUUUUGCGCCUUAUUUUGAUUACCAUCACAUAGCGAGGCUGAAAUGAAAGGGUCAUGGAGGUUCACCUGAUUCAACACCAAACAUAGCCAACUGCUAAGGUUGUAGUUCAAUUCCCGUUCUGCCUUGUGUCCCGUGGGUCUCAGCUGUUCGCGGACUGUAAAUCGAGUGGUUGUUGGCAAAUUCGUGAUUUGGGAAGGAGGAUUCGGGUGUAGCAAAGAUAAAGAGGGAAAUUGGCACAUGAAAUCUACUCAGAUAUCCUAACGUGCUCCGGUGACACGAGGGAUGAAGAGUGAGCUCCCUCACUUCAGUGCUCUGGAUCUUCUAUGCCGCAUCCGUUGACGAAGUAGUUAAUGGCACAUGUUAUGAAAGCAAGGAAGGAAAGUGUAUGCCAUGAUCUCUACCUCAGCUGUAGCUCAAAGACAGAGACUACUGAGAAAUGAUGCAAAUUAAAUCCUACUCUGUAAUCCACAUAUUUUUUGUAAAAAAAAGGGACACGUGUACAAUGGUCUCCUUCAACAACUGCAUGCCACAACCAAUAUUACAUCCUAUACUGCAAUGUACAUGCAAAUUUACAUUGUUAGAGUAGUAUGUGGUGCGGGCCUUGCAUGGAUUACCAACAAAUGACAAAGUUUUUAAAAAAUAUUUAUGCAUU